UACGUAGGUGGCAAGCGUUGUCCGGAAUUACUGGGCGUAAAGCGUGCGCAGGCGGUUCGUCGUGUCCGAUGUAAAAGCCCCGGGCUCAACCUGGGAAUGGCAUUGGAAACUGGCGGACUCGAGUGUGGCAGAGGGGGGUGGAAUUCCGCGUGUAGCAGUGAAGUGCGUAGAGAUGCGGAGGAACACCGAUGGCGAAGGCAGCCCCCUGGGCUAACACUGACGCUCAGGCACGAAAGCGUGGGGAGCAAACAGG
rnacentral:rRNA from 1 species